UGCAAAAAUACGUUGGGCUCUUUCCACGUCACAUCGCCGCCGGCCGCCAAGAUCGAGGCGGCGCCGCUGCGCCGUGCGCCUGGGGUGAGGGGCGGGGAGGCGACGGGGCCGAGGGCCACCGUGCGCGCUGGGAGCAGCCUCCGCCUCGGCCCGAUUCGACGCCGGCGCUGGCUCCGCGGCUCGGCAUCGUGCUCUUAUCGCUGCGCCGUAUCGCGGCGGAUGGCGCCUCAGCCGGAGUGCGCCGCUCCGCGCGCGCCUGAGGGAGUCGUGGUAUGGCGUAGCCACUCGUCGGAAGGAGCCCAGCCGAACGCUGGAGGGCCCUCGCCGGGGCUGUUCCAGUGCUUCAACUGAAGGAAUUUUAUUCGAAGAACAACAUGAUACUCAAGUGAGGGACCCUUCCCUUCCAAGCUGUCAAAAGAGUGGCCCUUGCACUGUUCUAUUAUAUGAUUCAGUUUAUCCACAAAGUCAUCCAUGGAAAGAGGAAUGAGCGCAAGUGC